rnacentral:misc_RNA from 1 species
AACGCACCUUGCGCUCUAUGGCAAUCCGUAGAGCAUGCCUGUUUGAGUGCCAUGAAAUCUCCCACCCCAAGCGGUUUUUAAAUGAAACGGCUUGGCGGAUGGGGUCUGGAUGGGUGCCUCUGCCUGCGCUACCUAGCACAGGCUCGCCCGAAAUGCAUGAGCGCCUCGAGACACUUUGCAUCCGCCUCUCUGUUUGGGAGGAGGCGGCCAAGCGCGCUCUGAUCAUCAGGCAUAGCAUGAUACGUCAUUUGCUAUGCUGUAGGAGAGCAUUUGGUUGUGGUUAUACCGCGUGCGUCAUUUUUUUUUCUUGCAAAGAGGAAAAAAAAAGCCCCCCUUUCAUUUCUGGUCUCAAAUCAGGCAGGAUCACCCGCUGAACUUAA